rnacentral:pre_miRNA from 1 species
UUAACUUAAAUUUGUAUGGAGUUGGAACGUUUGCCUACGUUUGCCGCCAGGGGCGCUGUUCCAACUGCAUAUAAAUUUGAUUUA